rnacentral:lncRNA from 1 species
CAGUGCAUCCCCUUCGUCCCCACCUAGCUGGGAGUGACUCAGCUGGGUGACUUGUCAACUCCAUGUAAAAUCUCAGGCCCAGCCCCUGGGAGGGGUUCCAGUUCCAUCUCUGGCAUUUCAUUAAAGUUGGGACCAUCUUUCUCCGGCUUUUUGCAGCCAGGCUCAAAUCAGAUAAACUCCUUUGUUCUUCGUGGAACUGACAAGCAGUUAAAACCCCAUUAUUAUGCUAUAAUUUCAGAAAAUGGAUCCAAGUGAAUAGCUAAAUAGGGCUCAAGGCUGCUUAAUGAGACAUCUUAUUUGAGGCUUUCAAAUGUCAGAAAUUCCAGACAGCAGCAAGCUGAAGUCUCUGGGACCAACGUGUCAGCUCCAGGAAAGCUGGACCCCACGGUGCAGUGGAAGCAAAGAUUAAAACAGCAGGCUGGAGGAGCAGAAAUGUGAACAGCUGGAGGCCGGAAAAGAAAGGACACAAGCGGAGAAGAAACACCAGAGGAAAAAUAAUCCCUUAGAGGGUAAAGAACAAAUAAUUGAAUAAGGGAUUAAAAAACACACAAGGAGAGAUCCCUGAGGAGGGAGGCCCAGUUCUGUGGACCCAGGAAUUACUGGACGUUUGGAGAGUCCCACAAAAGUGGGUGCCUUUGGAGUCCGCUGUAGAGAAGAACACCAGCCAGGGGUUCUCAGACGGCUGUGCCCUCCCAGAUCCUAAGGGCCCCACUCUGUUCCCCCAGGCUGGAGUGCAGUGGUGAGACCAUGGCUCACUGUGGCCUCGACCUCCCGGGCUCAAGGGAUCCUCCAACCUUAGCCUCCCAAUGUGUUGGCAUUACAGGCAUGCGCCAUCGCACCAGGCAAAACUGGACUCUUGUUCUGAAGUCAUGUGGGGGAACUGGGCCCCUGAGCGAGGCGAGGCUGUCUCAGGUCUGGGCCUUCUUUUCCGAGCUCCCUGACGUCUGACAUACCCUUGGUGAACAGCAGAAGGCACAUCGGAUCUACAUUCAGAUGCCUGCCUAUGCUGUGGGAUGCAAUCCUCCCUUAUGGAACAGUUCCUGCAGAAUUUCUCGGGGCCGUGCAGAUAAGGGAAGCAGGCAGCCUUAGGAAGCUGGGCAGGUGGAACCUACUGUACAGCCCACGAGCGCCAGCCUGCACUGAGGCCACUAGCAUUCGCAUCUCACCUCCCGGGAGCACCAGCCUGCACCGAGGCCUCUAGCAUUCAUGUCUCACUUCCUGCAAGCACCAGCCUGCACCGAAGCCUCUAGCGUUCACGUCUCACCUCCUGGGAGCACCAGACUGCACCGAGGCCUCUAGCGUUCAUGUCUCACUUCCCGCAAGCACCAGCCUGCACCGAGGCCUCUAGUGUUCACGUCUCACCUCCUGGGAGCACCAGCCUGUACCGAGGCCUCUAGCAUUCAUGUCUCACCUCCCGCAAGUGCCAGCCUGCACCGAGGCCUCUAGCGUUCACGUCUCACCUCCUGGGAGCACCAGCCUGUACCGAGGCCUCUAGCAUUCAUGUCUCACCUCCCGCAAGUGCCAGCCUGCACCGAGGCCUCUAGCGUUCACGUCUCACCUCCUGGGAGCACCAGCCUGUACCGAGGCCUCUAGCAUUCACGUCUCACCUCCCGCAAGUGCCAGCCUGCACCGAAGUCUGGCAUUCACGCUCACCUCCCGCAAGCACCAGCCUGCACCGAGGCCUCUGGCAUCCAUGUCUCACCUCCCGCAAGUACCAGCCUGCACCGAAGCCUAGCAUUCAUGCUCACCUCCCGCGAACACCAGCCAGCACUGAGGCCUCUGGCAUCCAUGUCUCACCUCCCGCAAGUACCAGCCUACACUGAAGCCCCUAGCAUUCAUGCCUCACCUCCCGGCCACACAAGGAAACAGAAAACUUUCUUGUCACUAAUGACCAACAGUGAAAAAGAACAAGCCAACCAUAACAACUUUUAAAGAAUGAAAAUGGUCAGAUGUUUCUUUUAUGCCUUUCUCUUAACAAUAAAACAUAGCCUAGCACAGAUGGGCCUGAGAAGGACUCCCAGACUCCUAGAUGGCUUCGAACCAUGUCCUUUCCUCCUGACGGCUCGUGGCUUGGCGUGAGGUUUCAUGUGUACAGGAAUUGGUGUGAGAGGCCAGUGUCCCAAUGAAUUGUGCAGCUGGGAUGGCAGGAGAGGGCUCCUCUGUGUACUGCG